GAUGAACGCUGGCGGCGUGCCUAAUACAUGCAAGUCGAGCGAACGGACGAGAAGCUUGCUUUUCUGAUGUUAGCGGCGGACGGGUGAGUAACACGUGGAUAACCUACCUAUAAGACUGGGAUAACUUCGGGAAACCGGAGCUAAUACCGGAUAAUAUUUUGAACCGCAUGGUUCAAAAGUGAAAGACGGUCUUGCUGUCACUUAUAGAUGGAUCCGCGCUGCAUUAGCUAGUUGGUAAGGUAACGGCUUACCAAGGCAACGAUGCAUAGCCGACCUGAGAGGGGGAUCGGCCACACUGGAACUGAGACACGGUCCAGACUCCUACGGGAGGCAGCCGUAGGGAAUCUUCCGCAAUGGGCGAAAGCCUGACGGAGCAACGCCGCGUGAGUGAUGAAGGUCUUCGGAUCGUAAAACUCUGUUAUUAGGGAAGAACAUAUGUGUAAGUAACUGUGCACAUCUUGACGGUACCUAAUCAGAAAGCCACGGCUAACUACGUG
rnacentral:rRNA from 1 species